rnacentral:rRNA from 1 species
UACGGGGGGGGCAAGCGUUGUUCGGAAUUAUUGGGCGUAAAGAGCUCGUAGGCGGCUUGUCACGUCGGGUGUGAAAGCCCGGGGCUUAACCCCGGGUCUGCAUUCGAUACGGGCUAGCUAGAGUGUGGUAGGGGAGAUCGGAAUUCCUGGUGUAGCGGUGAAAUGCGCAGAUAUCAGGAGGAACACCGGUGGCGAAGGCGGGUCUCUGGGCCGAUACUGACGCUGAGGAGCGAAAGCGUGGGGAGCAAACAGG